GUUCCCCACGUUCACUUUUGUUUUAAGUUUUUUUUUUUGGGUAUUUUCGUAUCUCAUAGACCAUGCUUUCUCAUCUUUCACCAAAAUUUUGAUAAUUGUUUAUUGUUCUAUCAUUUUCCAAAAACAUCCGAUACUCCAUACUUUUCUUCACCAUAAACUCAUAAAAUUGAAAUCUGAAAUUCGUUCUCUUUGGAAAUCAAAUUAGGGGAAAUUUCGAUUCAAUUUUGAUUUGAGGAAGUUGAUUUCUUGUUCGAGCUAUUCGUAGGAUCUUUAAAGUAUUAUCUACUACGAAAUUGUCGUAGGUAAGAACAAACAUCGAUCUUUAUUCUCUUAGCUAUGUUCAUAUAUUAUUUUUGGGUAAUUUCGAUUCAAUCUUAUUAGCAUGGAAUGGUUGAGUUUGAAAUGAAUAAGGGUGUUCUUGAUUAAUUGGGUGUAAAACUCAAGUGUAGUUUAAUAGCCCUUUUUUUAAUUGAAAGUUAUGUUUCUUUUAUUUGUAAGUGCUAGCGUGCGAAUUGGAUUGAUGGGUUGUUUGAAUUAGGGUGUUCUUGAUUAAUUAGGUGUAAAACUCAUUGGAAUGGACUAAUGGUUUAUGGGGUUUGUCUUUGGAUAAUGCCUACAAAGUACAAACUGUUUGAUGAAAUGUCUCAACCAAAUAUUAGAGCUGGCAAUGGGUUGGGUUGGGUCGAAAUCAGAUCAACCCAUUUAUAAACGGGUUGAGAUUUUCCCAACCCAACCCGACCUGUUUAAUUAAACGGGUUGAGAUUUUCAACCCAACCCAACCCAACUAUAAACGGGUUGACCUGAAGUUGACCCGUUUAAUUUUUUUUUCCCACUUUUAAUUGUAAAUUGAUUUGACUAUAGACUUGCGAGGUGAUUUUGUUAUGGCAUAUCUCAUUGCAAAAAGUAAUUUUUCAAUAUGUAUUUGACAUGAAUCAAAACGUCAAAUAAUUAUUCAAUGUUGAAGGGGAAAUGAGAAAUAAAAUCUUUCAAAUCACAUUAUACAUAUAUAUAUUACAUACUUGCUUGCACUUAAACGGGUUAGACGGGUUGUUUUCGGGUUGAAAAUUUCAACCUGACCCAACCCAUUUAAUUAAACGGGUUGGGUUGGGUUGACCCAUUUAAUUAAACGGGUUGAAAAUCUUGACCCAACCCUUUAUUAUUGGGUUGGGUUCGGGUUGGGUUGGUGGGUUGGGUCAAUUUUUGCCGGCUCUACCAAAUAUUAUCUCUUGGAAUUUGUAAUUUCUGGGUAUGUACAUUCUGGGAAUUUGUGGAAAGCUCUGUCACUCUUCCUUGAGCUUUAUCAGUCUGACCUCCGAGAUGAUGCAUACUCCUUUACUUCAAGUGACCUGAAUCUGUGUUGGUGUUCAAGCAUAGCACAAAAUGGAAUCAAGUGUUGUUGUGUUGGUGUUCAAGUAUAUAUAGCUGUACGCCUGUACUACGUCCACCCAAUAAUUAAACUAGCAUGAAACACCUAAUAAUCUGGCCCUUAACAAACACUCCAAAACUACAAUAGAAUGAGCAUAAAAUCUUUUUUAAAUUCAUUUUACAGUAUGUUCAUUCAUAAUAACAAAAAAGAAGUAGACAGAAGGAGCACCGUAGCACUAGUACCACUAUAUUUACUAUUUAGUAAACUCAGCAAAUAAACUCUCUUGCCCUCUUAUUUUAUUUUAUUUUUAUACAAAAAUAAUGAUGUGGCAUUAGCUCUUAUUUAUAAGAGCUAGCUCUUAUUUCAGAAAUUUCUCUUACAAUCUAUAAUCUAUAACUAUUACUAAAACAAAUACCGCUGACAUCAUUAUUGUCCACAUGUCAGCUUCUCCAAGCAAAUUUUCCCGCCUAAUCUAAUAAUGACGUCAUUAACUAUAUAAUUUUACCGGGUUGUAAAUUGUUAGUCUACUCCACUGUUCGAUGCAAUUAAUGGCAUGCAGUACACAUUCUCCUUUCCCAAAAAAGAAGCCUGCAAAAAUACUGCACACUUUACUAUUCACAAAACCGCUUUCCUUUCAUUUUCUCUCUUCAUCUUCCUAAUCUUUCCUCUCCCUCCUUCGGUGCUUUUUCGUAACUCCUCUCUUCUCAUAAUCCCUUUUAGAGUACUUUUUUAUUUGAAUUUUGGUGAUGGGUUUUAUAUAUUCAUAUUUGAAGGAUUUUGUGGUGGAGAUGACAACAUUCUUUCUGUUUGGUUUGAGGCUGAGAAAUUGAUAAGUUGAAUGUUAUCAGCAAAUGCGUCCACAAUUAAGGAAAACAUCUGUUUGCAUAUCUUGGGCAAUUCUUAUUUUUGAGGUAGAAAAUAGGGUAGUGUCGAAGAAUUGACUGCAAUUGGAUUAUUACCAGGAAGUUGGGAAGAUUCAAUUCUGCAAUUUGCUACGAGAACUCGAGAAGGUCUAAUUCGAUCAUCUAUAAUUCCCUUAUUCUGCAUUACUUUUUCUUCAAUUAAUUUCUAAUACGAUGAAGUAGUUUUUGGUUUUCACUUUCGUUUUGAAUGUUAUUAGUUGAUUUUUCUACCGUUCAUUUGAAUAAUUUACUACUCCGUAUAAUACUUCAAUAAUUUUGUAUGGAAAUUAAUUUACAGCUACUUUGUCUAGAAUUUUAAUGUUGGAGUUGAUAUUUGGUUUAAAUUUUGUUGAAUUUGUUAUUGUGGACCUUGUGGUUGUGCAGGUUGGAGUUUGUAUUAGCAAGUUUUUACUAUAGUGGCUUGACCUUUUUAAAAAUGUUAAUUAAAAUGCAUCAAGUACACUAGAGUGACUUUGCUACAAUGCCAUUAGAGUCAAUUUUUUUAUUGUAAUGAUUGUCAAGUUUUCGAAGAGGAAGCUUCCAUUAGAGUUGGCUUUCAAAGAAAUAUCGCUAAUCGUAUCAAGCUCAAGUGGGAACUAUUAUUGUAACGCUUUUGUUUUUUACCCUAAUCGAACAAGUUGAACUCACUUUUCCACAACAUUUCACUAAUGCAUUGUAUUUAUACAUUUGGUCAAAUAGAAAACAUUAUUACUUUUGUAAAUAUCAAAUAUUGUAUUUUUUACAUUAUUUAUGUACAUCAAAUUGUUACUCCCCGUAUUCCAUACCAACUAAUUACUUAAUAAAUAUUUUAAAGAGUUUUGUUAUAAUCGUGCAUCGCACGGGUGCUAA